UGGCUCAGAUGGUAAAGCAUCUGUCUACAAGGCAGGAGACCCAGGUUCAAUCCCUGG
rnacentral:tRNA from 1 species